AACCCGAGAGAUCGGGCGGUCCCCCUUCGGGGGGACGAGGUGGACAGGUGGUGCAUGGUUGUCGUCAGCUCGUGUCGUGAGAUGUUGGUUAAGUCCCGCAACGAGCGCAACCCUCGACCUUAGUUGCCAGCAUUCAGUUGGGCACUCUAAGGUGACUGCCGGCUAAAAGUCGGAGGAAGGUGGGGGAUGACGUCAAAUCAUCAUGCCCCUUAUGACCUGGGCUACACACGUGCUACAAUGGGCGGUACAAAGGGUCGCGAACCCGCGAGGGGGAGCCAAUCCCAAAAAGCCGCUCUCAGUUCGGAUUGCAGGCUGCAACUCGCCUGCAUGAAGCCGGAAUCGCUAGUAAUCGUGAAUCAGAAUGUCACGGUGAAUACGUUCCCGGGCCUU
rnacentral:rRNA from 1 species